GACGAACGCUGGCGGCGUGCUUAACACAUGCAAGUCGAACGAUGAAGCCGGAGCUUGCUCUGGUGAAUUAGUGGCGAACGGGUGAGUAACACGUGAGUAACCUGCCCUUGACUCUGGGAUAGCUGCGGGAAACUGUAGCUAAUACCGGAUACGACCCUCGGAGGCAUCUCCUGGGGGUGGAAAGAAUUUCGGUCAAGGAUGGACUCGCGGCCUAUCAGCUAGUUGGUGAGGUAAAGGCUCACCAAGGCGACGACGGGUAGCCGGCCUGAGAGGGUGACCGGCCACACUGGGACUGAGACACGGCCCAGACUCCUACGGGAGGCAGCAGUGGGGAAUAUUGCACAAUGGGCGCAAGCCUGAUGCAGCGACGCCGCGUGAGGGAUGACGGCCUUCGGGUUGUAAACCUCUUUCAGCACCGACGAAGCGCAAGUGACGGUAGGUGCAGAAGAAGGACCGGCCAACUACGUGCCAGCCGCCGCCGUAA
rnacentral:rRNA from 1 species